rnacentral:rRNA from 1 species
UACAGAGGUCUCGAGCGUUAGGCGGAAUCACUGGGCUUAAAGCGUGUGUAGGCGGGUUGGUAAGUACUUUGUGAAAUCCCACGGCUUAACCGUGGAACUGCUUGGUAUACUGCCAGUCUUGAGCCAGCUAGGGGCUACCGGAACAAAUGGUGGAGCGGUGAAAUGCGUAGAUAUCAUUUGGAACGCCAAUGGUGAAAACAGGUAGCUGGGGCUGUGCUGACGCUGAGACACGAAAGCCAGGGGAGCAAACGGG